AGGCUUGUAGCUCAGGUGGUUAGAGCGCACCCCAGAUAAGGGUGAGGUCGGUGGUUCAAGUCCACUCAGGCCUACCA
rnacentral:tRNA from 1 species